UCGAUCCAACAAUUUCCGAAAAAAUGUCUUCACAUUUGCCAAAGAUUCUUGCAUAAGAACGGACGUUUUAGUGGAAAUAAUCUGCCAAAUUAUAGCAAAGUUUACAUUUUUUCUGAAGUUUUGAAUCACAGAGUGCACCAAAAUGAAGUUAUUGAAAAUUUAUCUUCGAUACUACCCACCAGGCAUCGCAUUAAACUAUUUAAAACGAAACGUAGAGGAGACCAAAAUGAUUGAUUUGUUUGAUAUGACUUCGAAUUCUGACCUUCAAGCGCUGACAAAAAAGAUCGCAUCCUCGGAACCGCUGAUAACGCAAGAUAUCUACCCGCAAGUGAUAGAAAUUUUAGAAAAGCUACAGAAAAAGCUGAAAGAACCUGUGAAAACAAAAUUCUACCUCUUCAAAACUCUACAAACACACAUUCUUCCAUUGACAAACGUGUCCUUCGAUAAAUCCGGUAAAAGGUGCAUCACAGGUUCGUACGACCGUACGUGCCGAAUAUGGAACGUUGAGAGUGGCGACGAGGAGAAGGUGCUCAAGGGACAUGAAAAUGUGGUGUUUUCUGUUGCCUACAACUAUCCCAAAUGUGAUCGUAUACUGACGGGAUCGUUCGACAAAACUGCCAGAAUAUGGAACCCAACUUCGGCCAACUGCUUGACGACUUUGUGGGGUCACACGGCAGAAAUUGUGGCUGCCGAGUUUAAUCCCAACCAGGGCGAACAGGUGGUCACGUGCAGUAUGGACAACACAGCUCGAGUGUUUUCAGCUGAAACCAGCCAGGAAAUUCUUCUGCUGGGAGACCACAGAGCUGAAGUUAUAUCGGCCCGUUUCAACAAAGAUGGAAACUUGCUGCUGACGGCGUCAUUUGACGGAACUGCCAUGAUAUGGGACUCUCGGAUGAAAGGGAGUGCCAGUGUCAUUCGCGGCCACGAUGCAGAGCUGAGCAAUGCCAUUUGGAAUUUCCAGUGCUCUUUGAUAGCCACUAGUUCGUUGGACAGAACAGCCAAAAUUUGGGAUGCUCGAAAGUUAGACUACUUCCAAGCAAUCGCCAAUCAUAAAGAUGAAGUUCUCGAUAUAACCUUCAACUGUACUGGAUCACGGUUAGCAACCGGAAGUGCAGAUUGUACGGCCAAAGUAUGGGACGUUACCGGAAAUUUUGAGCUGGUUACUAUCAUGGCUGGCCAUACUGACGAAGUCUCCAAAGUGACCUUCAGCCCUCCUGGAGGAUUACUCCUGACGGCAUCGGCAGACAAAACGGCCCGUAUUUGGAACUCAGCAACCGGAUUGUGCACUCAAACUUUGGCGGGACACGAUGGCGAAGUAUUUUCGUGCUCUUUCAACUAUUCCGGUGAUGCAAUAAUCACCGCUUCGAAAGACAACACUUGUAAGAUAUGGAGAUGAUACGACUGGUUCUCGGGUCAAGCUUUCAAAACCCCAAAUGCAAAAAAGCAGCGUGUAUUUUUGCCUACGCCAAGACAGGGCGAACAUUGGACGAGAUUUUUACUUAGAAAACUGUAAAUAUUCGGCACCAGCCACCAACAUCAUUUCGAGCCGAUCAUCCCGAAGUAAGUUUUCGUCAAUGACAACCCCAGCAUGGCUUAUAGAAUGCUAGAAUAAGAUCAGAGCUCGAAAAAACAUGCACACAUUUGGAGGUUGCUUUAGGAAAUCGAUCCCUGCCGUUGAAUCAUUCCGUGUAGGUUAGCCAUCUCUUUAUCAGUUCCAACUUUUGCCAUUCAUUUUCGGCAUCCAAUUCUCUCCUAUUUAUAGGAUCUUUUCUGAGGAGCAUCAAUAAACCGAUAAGAUAUUGCUGCGCCAAAAAUGCAUCAAAAUAAUAGAUUCGCCCACUAAAAGAUAGCGAUACCGGAUCGAUUCAGCAACUAAUAUUAGCACAGAAUACUUUUUAACAGUUUAUUUCGUGACAGACUUUCGAAAGUAUAUAGCCAAAUUCAGACGAAAUAGUAGAAAAAAGCACAGAAUAUAUUUAAAAGCAAAAAAUAAACUAAAGAAUUCGAAAUAACACUCGUGUAGAAAUAGGCUGACAAAAACACUCCCAAAAUUUGUUUUAAUCUCUUGGAAAAAAACGUGUUGCUGUUUGUAGUCUCUUAGGCUUACUUUACUUUAUGUCAAUUGAAAACAUCGGUAGUGAUUCGAAAGUACCUUUAAUGGUUGCAACCUUUGAAAUUGUGAUAUAUGUAUGUGUAAGAAAAUAUACACACAGCAAAUGAAUUGAAGGUGAAACAAUCAAAGUUGUUGAU